UGGGUAGUUUUAAAUCCAUUAGUUCCCCUUUCCAAACCAAGCAUGCAUUGUCUUCGUAAGAGUAAGCUGUACAAGAGCAAUUACUCAAGCAGAUAGAUUCACACUCUCCAGCACUCCCUGCCAUCACUCUUUGUGAAUUUGAAGGUAACAUAACAAGGUUAUUCGCUAGAAACUUGUCUUUUCUGUCAUUCCUACAGUUCAAAACGAUCUCUCUCUCACAGCCACCUGAAUAAUCCUUCAAACUCCAAUCAUUUUCCGACCUUUGCUUAAAUCCGGGCAAACAAUAACAGAAGUUCGAUGAAUUCUGAUUGCAGGUGCCAAAUGCCCCACAAUAAGCAUACACAUCACAUUGCUGCAUAGGUUGAAACCAUAAUGAAUUCCACUUCUCUUUAUACCACACUGUCAGAUUAAUUUGCCCGGAAACAUCCAUCACAUAUCGAGAUAUAAUGAAACGGUUAUUAAGAGAAUAUGUGUAGUAACUCUCGUUAACGUUGUCAACAUAACUAUGAUUAAAAAAACUGUCCAGACUCAUUCUGGGGAUUGAACUGAAAAAAUGCCCAUUCCAAGCUCCACUAGUCCAGAACCAUUCAGUCCUAUUCCAUCUUAUAAUACAUUGUCUCCCAUUUGGAUCUAAUUCAUUGGAGAAAAGCCCAGUCGCAGGAUCCUCGAAAUUUUUCCAUGAAGUGAGGAUUUUCUCUUUUUUUGUAUGUUUAUUAUAGGCAAUCUUGCUUCCGGGCAACAACGUAUCUGUUGGAUUAUCAAAACUUUGCCAAAAUCCUUCACUUGUCCUAGGUUCUGACUCAUCUCUCAAUACUAAAUUUCCAUUAUCACCUAGAGCUGCCACUACAGAAUCUGAGGUUGUCAAGUUUACAUUUGUCGACCAAAUUGAAACCUGGGACUCAUCCAUAAGCACCAAAUUCCCAUGUAAUAUCUUAAGUUCUGCAGAGUUCAUGUCUGAAAUGGGUGUCUCCCUAUUUGCUACCCAAACUAUGGUCAUUGGACUAAUAUUUUUGUACCAAAUUCCUAUAUAAUAACUGGAAAAAGUACCUGGUUUGAAGAAUCCCAGUUCAAAAGUCCCACCAGAAGACACGAUUGUCUGUUUUCCAGAGAGAGAUUUGUUUGCUCUGAUGCUGUCACCUCCUAGGGAAAGAUUGAUGUUAAUAUAGAAACAUAGGAAAAACAAUAUGGAGAAAAUGAAACAACGAGUGUUCUUUGUGAUCAUAGCUGCAGAAGAAGUGUGUAGGACAAGGAGAGAAAGAAAGUAUGAAACAAGAAGUUUUUUUUUUCAAGUGCAUACUUUUUACAAGAAGGAAAGUCGUGUAUUAAUACUUUUCCGCUUCUACGAGUCAAAUGAUUUUUAAUCCACGAAGAUGUGGGGAGGAGAGAGUUAUGUCGAGUUGGACUUAGGGAUACACAGGCAGAACGAAAUGAAUUGGGGUUGUUGAGUCAACCUGCUUUGAGAAUGACAAAUUAUGUUGUGAAUCAAUACAUUUUGAGCAAAUAUGUAUUCCAUAAUUUCCAUUAAUCAAUGGACCACAAGAAUGUGAGCAGCGUCGGUCUUCGGGGUGGGGCCAAUUUCAUAAAUUAGCCCCCAAAGUUGUUGAAUGUUAUAAAUUAAUUGGUCAUUAAUUAUGUUAGUGGUUUAAAGAAGAAGUAACAACCCUUCUCAUUUUUUCAAGCGCUUGGCCGACUCCAUUUAAUGUUGGUGAAGUCAUAAUUGUACAAAAGUAAAAAAAUAUUUCGUGUAGAAUCCCAGUUCAAAAGUCCCACCAAAAGACAUGAUUCUCUUUUCCAGAGAGAGAUUGGUUUGCUCUGAUGCUAUCACCUCCUAGGGAAAGAUUGAUGUUAAUAUAGAAGCAUAGGAAAAACAACACAGAGAGAAUGAAACAAGUGUUCAUUGGGAUCAUGCUUGCAAUAGAUGUGUGUACGGACAAGGAGAGAAAGAGAGUAUGAAACGAGAAGUGUUUUUUUUUUUCAAGCACAUGCUAUUUACGGGAACGAGAGUCAUUAACUAAUACUUUUCCGCUUCUACAAGUCAAAAGAAGGGAAAAAAAGGGGGGGAGAAAAAAAGACGGCAUUUAUGGCGUGCAAAGGCAUGCCAUAAAAAGCCAAUCCUUUUUUUUUUUUUUUUUUUACAAACACGACAUGCUCAGUAGGUACGCCAUAAAUACCUUAACCAAUUGAUUUUUAAUGGCAUACACUUAUCGCAUGCCGUAAAUAGUGUAUUUUUACAGCAUGCCUUAGAUGCACACCAUAAAUGAAUGCCGUAAAAAGCUGAGCAUGUCGUGUUUGUAAUAAUUGUUUUCUUACGAUUUUUUUUCUGUCAAAAUUGAUAUGAUAGAAACUAAUCUGAACCGGAAGAGAUUCGAUUAUGGUUCGAUUCUAGUAAUUACAUAAAAUUGAAUUCCAUUGACAAAAAAUUAUAAUAUUAUUGAUACUUCUAGUUCUUGGAAUAUUUAGAUUGAACCGUUAGACGCUCAUCCCUAAGUUUCAUAAAACCUAUAACUACUAUUGACUUAGAAUGUGUUUGAUUGACUUUAUUUUUCAUCCAGAUUUCUACUUUUUGAGUAUUUGAUUGACAAUUUUUUUCAUGAAUAAUAUUUCCAACUUUUGAUCAGGGGAUCAAAAACAAGAAAAACAUUUUAUUUAGGGUGGGGUGAUUUUUAUUUUUCAGAUAAUUCUCUCUCUCCAUUUCGUCUAUCCCCCUUUUUAUCUAUCCACCAAUAAAAAAUUGAAAAGUAUAAUAUUUCUUAUGUUGAAAAUUAAAUCAAACAAACACAUUUAAUUAAUAUUUUUAUACAAAUAAUUUCUAGGCAAUUGAAUUGUCAAAGAAUUUAUUUUAUUUCCAUACAAAUCCAUGCUCGCAAUCAAUACCACCCAUAAAAUCCAAAACUUAUAAACUAAUUUUGUUUUUUUACGAAACAUACUCAUAAUAUUCUUCUUAUCUAACAUGAUUUUUAAUUUUAUUUAUUUUUGUCUAACGUGAAUGUAAUUUUCAUAUCUAAUAUUUAUCAAAUUCAAUAUAUGAAGGGUGCAUGUGUAUAGUGACGAAUAGGGUGUAUAAAACUUAAGUGCAUAUUUAGUAGCAAUGUUUUGAUAAUUAAUUUUAUUUAUAGUCAUUUUUAACCACAGAAUAUUAAAAAUAAAUUAUUUUCACAUUUUUCUAUAAUAGCUCCCUACAAUUUAACCAUACAUUUUUCAAAAAAAUAUUUUUUCAAAAGUUUCUUUCACUCCAUGACUAAGUAUAAAAUUAAAGAGAGAGAGAGAGAGAGAGAGAGAGAGAGAGAGAGAGAGAGAGAGAGAGAGAGAGAGAGAGGAAAAUGGUGAAAUUUGUACGGAAAAUAUCACAAAAAUUGGAAUGGCCCCAAAACCACUACUUUGGCGUGAAAACUUAUAAAUAAUUCUCUUCCACUGUGAUCGGGACUGGGACUAUUGGAGUGCAAAAAAAAAUUGUAGAUUUUGAAUUUUGAAAAACAAGGUAAUUUAAUCAUGUAAUACCUUAAUAAAAAAGAAACAAAAAAGAAAAGUCAAAGAUGUCGUAUAAAAAAAAAAGGAUUGAGGCGGUGGAGGAUUGGAUUGAUAUCAAUCCAAUCCAAAUCCAUUACAAAACAAAUAAAAAUCCAUUAUCCACAUUAAAACACAUACACACAGUGAAAAAAAAACGUUCACGGAGAGAGAAAGAGAAAAGAGAAAGGAAAAAAAAGAGGGGGAACAGAGAGUUAUGUCGAGCUGGACUUAGGGAUACACGGGCAUGCCGAAAUGAAUUGGGGUUGUUGAGUCAACCUGCUUUGAGAAUGACAAAUUAUGUUCUGAAUCAAUACAUUUUGAGCAAAUAUGUAUUCCAUAAUAUCCAUUAAUCAAUGGACCACAAGAAUGUGAGCAGCAUCGGUCUUCGGGGCUGGGGCCAAUUUCAUAAAUUAGCCCCCAAAGUUGUUGAAUGUUAUAAAUUAAUUGGUCAUUAAUUUACAAACCAAAAAAAAAAAAAUUAUGCUAGUGGUUUAAAGAAAAAGUAACAACCCUUCUCAUUUUUUCAAGGGUUUGGCCGACUCCAUUUAAUGUUGGUGAAGUUAUAAUUGUACAAAAGUAAAAUAUUUCGUGUAGAAUCCCAGUUCAAAAGUCCCACCAAAAGACAUGAUUCUCUUUUCCAAAGAGAGAUUGGUUUGCUCUGAUGCUAUCACCUCCUAGGGAAAGAUUGAUGUUAAUAUAGAAGCAUAGGAAAAACAACACAGAGAGAGUGAAACAAGUGUCCAUUGGGAUCAAACUUGCAGUAGAUGUGUGCACGGACAAGGAGAGAAAGAGAGUAUGAAACGAGAAGUGUUUUUUUUUUUUCAAGCGCAUGCUAUUUACGGAAAUGAAAUUCAUUAACUAAUACUUUUCCCCUUCUACAAAUCAAAAAAAGGGAGAAAAAAAGAUGGCAUUUACGGCGUACAAAGGCAUGCCAUAAAAAGCCAAUCCUUUUUUUUUUUUUUUUUUUUACAAACACGACAUGCUCAAUACGUAUGCCGUAAAUACCUUAACCAAUUGAUUUUUAAUGGCAUAUAUUUAUCGCAUGCCGUAAAUAGUCUAUUUUUACGGCAUGCCUUAGAUGCACACCAUAAAUGAAUGCCAUAAAAAGAUGAGCAUGUCGUGUUUGUAAUAAUUGUUUUCUUACUAUUUUUUUUUCUUUCAAAAUUGAUAUGAUAGAAACUAAUCUGAACCGGAAGAGAUUUGAUUAUGGUUCGAUUCUAGUAAUUACAUAAAAUUGAAUUCCAUUGACAAAAAAUUAUAAUAUUAUUGAUACUUCUUGUUCUUGGAAUAUUUAGAUUGAACUGUUAAAUGCUCAUCCCUAAGUUUCAUAAAACCUAUAACAACUAUUGACUUAGAAUGUGUUUGAUUGACUUUAUUUUUCAUGAAAAAUGUUAUUUUUCCAUCCAAAUUUCUACUUUUUGGGUAUUUGAUUGACAAUUUUUUUCAUGAGUAAUAUUUCCAAAUUUUGAUCAGGUGAUCAAAAACAAGAAAAACAUUUUCUUUAGGGAGGGGUGAUUUUUAUUUUUCAGAUAAUUCUCUCUCACCAUUUCGUCUAUCCCCGUUUUCUAUCUAUCUCCCAAUAAAAAAUUGAAAAAUAUAAUAUUUCUUAUGUUGAAAAUUAAAUCAAUCAAACACAUUUAAUUAAUAUUUUUUAUACAAAUAAGUUCUAGGCAAUUGAAUUGUCAAAGAAUUUAUUUUAUUUCCAUACAAAUCCAUGCUCGCAGUCAAACACCACCCAUAAAAUCCACAACUUAUAAACUAAUUUUGUUUUUUACGAAACAUACUCAUAAUAUUCUUCUUAUCUAACACGAUUUUAAUUUUAUUUAUUUUUGUCUACCGUAAAUGUAAUUUUCGUAUCUAAUAUUUAUCAAAUUCAAUAUAUGAAGGGUGCAUGUGUAUAGUGACGAAUAGGGUGUAUAAAACUUAAGUGCAUAUUUAGUAGUAAUUUUUUGAUAAUUACUUUUGUUUAUAGUCAUUUUUAACCAAAGAAUAUUAAAAAUAAAUUAUUUUCAUGUUUUUCUAUAAUAGCUCCCUACAAUUUAACCAUACAUUUUUCAAAAAAAAUAAUUUUUCAAAAGUUUCUUUCACUCCAAGACUAAGUAUAAAAUUAGAGAGAGAGAGAGAGAGAGAGAGAGAGAGAGAGAACAAUAGAAAGAAAAAUGGUGAAAUUUGUAUGGAAAAUAUCACAAAAAUUGGAUUGGCCCCAAAACCACUACUUUGGCAUGAAAAUUCAUAAAUAAUUCUCUUCCACUGUGAUCGGGAUUGGGACCAUUGGAGUGCAAAAAAAAAAAAUUGUAGAUUUUGAAUUUUGAAAAACAAGGUGAUUUAAUCAUGUAAUACCUUAAUAAAAAAAAUACAAAAAAGAAAAGUCAAAGACGUCAUAAAAAAAAGAUUGUGGCUAUGGAGGAUUGGAUUGAUAUUAGUCCAAUCCAAAUCAUCAAUCCAAUCCAAAUCCAUUACAAAACAAAUAAAAAUCCAUUAUCCACAUUAAAACACGUACACACAGUGAAAAAAAAAAGGUGCAGGGAGAGAGAAAGAGAAAAAGAGAAAUAGAAAAGUCUACAUUAUUAGGCUUGAAUUCCUCAAUUUUGAAAAAUAAGUAAAAAGUUACUUAUUAUCAAGUUAUGUUUGAUUUUAUAGUUGUUAGUUUGUUAGACUAAAUUCAAUUUUAUUGAAGGGGUUAAGUGUAAUAAGAUAUGAAAUUGAGUAAGAUGAAAGAAAAACUAGCUUUAGUUAUUAAAGUGACUGUAGAAAUCGUCCAAACGUGAAAUGAUUAAGUUUGGACAUUGCCUAUUUAAUUAUUGAAAUUUCUUAAAAUAAUUAAUUGUUGAUUUGAAAAUUAUAUCAUAUUUCAGGCGGCGAUAUUGACAUCGAGACAGCUUACCAACGAGUUAAUUUUUCGAAUAUAGUACUGUGAGUGGAAAAAUAUAAAUAUUUUUAAAGUAUUUAUAAAUUAAGUAUAUUGUUAAAAUAUGUGCAAUUAUAUGCAAUUAUGUGUUCGAAAUAUAUGGUUAUUAUGGAAAUAUCUUUUAUUAUGAUACAUGUGGAUUUUAAAGAUUGUAUACGGUACAUUGUGAGAUGGGAUAUGAGAUAUGAUUUUGAGAUCGACCAGAAAAGUACCCGUGAUUAUAUAUUUCUUCUAAUUCACUAAGGGGCCUUGGCCGUGUUCUAUACUACACUGAGGGGUCUUGGACCGGGGAUGAAGGGGUCUCGACCAUGUACAUAUAGUUCACUAAGGGGCCUUGGCCGUGUUCUAUACUACAAUGAGGGGUCUUGGAUCGGGGAUGAAGGGGUCUCGACCAUGUACAUAUAGUUCACUUUGGGGCCUUGACCAUGUUCUAGAAUUGAUUAUGGGAGGUCUUUGAGACCACCUUUCAUUCACGGAGGGGCCGAAGGCCAGUAGUGAAAGUUUUUAGCCCGAGAGGUGGAUUAUAUAUUUCAGUCAAAGGGUACAUUUUUUGUGAACUUUUCAGCACGUUUAAUGUGAUGAGAUUGUAGCAUGGUUAUCAGCUCAUGUUUAUAUCAUGAUAUUGAAAUGAUAUUUUACGACCUUAUGUGAGUAUUUCACUUUUGGUUAUAAUUGCAUGAUGUUAUCUUGUGAGUUAUUAAGUGAUAUGAACUCAAUUUUGGAUAGAAAUGUAAAAUUGAAAAAGUAUAAUUAUUUUCGAGCUUCUCCACUCACUGAGCUAUCAACUCAUAUAUUUUUCCACAAUUUUUCCUACAGGUAGCAAUUAAUUCUUUUUAGCUGGAAGAGCCUAAUGAAUUUGGAAUGAGAGUCAUACGACAUGUUAAAUAUUAUAACUUAUAUUGAUAAAGCACGAAGUAAAUAUUUUGGGCCCAUCUCAUUAUAUUUUGCAUGUCAUUUGAUUUUGACGCAUAUUUUGAGAUAACUCAUAGUCAGUUUUGGUGAUAGAUUUGACAUCUAGUCAGCAUCUAUCAUCGGCGCACGUCACAUUUCAAGUCCAUUAGGGUAAUUCGAGACGGGUUGUGUCAAAAUGGUAUCAGAGCAUGGUUUCGAAAAUUUUUAUGGUUCAUGCAUGUUCAGUGGAUAUGAUUACAUGUCGUGGUGGCAGAAAUCACUGGCUCUCUAACUCAAAUGCAUAGAACUAAAAAUGAUAGAAAGAUAUUUUUAACAAAUCCAGGAAAGACUAGUAUAUAAGUAUGGCAGUUGCAAUGAUAUUAUGGAUGGAAAUGUUAUUAGUUGUUGGGUUGGAAUUAUGUGUGUAUGUAACCUAUUAGGAUUUGAACAGAUUGUGAUGAUUUGCGGGGCAUUCGAAGUCACAGAUGUUACAACCACUUAAUUAUCAAUUUAUAUGUAGAACUACAUGAUUUUUUUUAUUUGUACAUAGGAAAAUUUUUAGUUAUAGCUUGCACGAUAAAUACAAGGAAAUGAUAUGAUGUGUGAUUGGUGACAAUCAGUGAGGAAUGUUAAUUAUUCUUGAAGCCAAAUGGUCAUUAGUGUUAUCAAAAUACUGUGGUGAUUUGUGGCCACUUAUAUGGGAUGAUAAUAGAAAUCAUAAUGGUGUACAUUUAUGCUAUAUGAUAAGAAAUUGUGGAAGAAAAAAUGAUUAUUUGUGGAUUGAUAGAUAACAAUAUGUUAUCUUGUAUUUUACGAAUCGAGGAAAUUAACGGUACUUCUAAUUAUUUCGAUUAUUUCUUUGUGGUUUGAGUACAAGGAAUGUGAGAAUAAGAGGGAUGAAUUUCAUAAUGAUUACCUAUUAUGCGGCGAUUUGUUGCUUUAAAAAUAGAAUUAAAUGGAUAUGUACAUUUAGGUAUGUUUAUGUGAAUCGAGAAAUAAAAAGGAGUAGAGAAUGGUAAAGUUGGAAUUUAUUGACAUUGGAAAAUUAACAUGUCCAAUUUUGGUGGUACAUUGAUGUGUGGGAGGUUAUUCUUUUAUGAUUUUAAGGAAAAUUGAUAUAAUUAAAUGUUUUAGGUCUACGAUAUAACGAUAAAUGAUAACGUUACAUAACCAUAAGAUGAUAUGGUGAAUAGCAUGUACAUGAAUGCUAUGGUUGUUCUAUAGCAAAAUAAUGUGAUGAAAUAAUUGGGUUAUUUUCGAUUGUAUUUUUGGAUUUCGCGGAUAAAGUAUUCCAUUCUUCUCGAGAUCUAUACGUUAUAGAAUAAAUGGAUGAUAUUUGGAUAGUUUAAUGUCUAAGGCAAUCAUCAAAUUUAAAUUUUAUUCAAUUGUUGAAUGGUAUCUUUAGGCUAUAAUCUUAAUUGAAGGUUUUGUGCGAUAUAUAAGAAAGCUUAUGCAUUGGUGAUAGACUAGUAGCCUCGUUAUGGAAUAAGAGUAUGAAAUUGUCAUGGUUUAAAUGUUAUAAUUGUCCCUUCAUAGAAAGAAAGAGCAUCAAAAUUAUGUGGAUUUAAGAAUGUAAAAGUGUUGCUAUUAAAUUAUAUUUUGAGGAAACAUUUGCUCUUGUAUCUAAAGUUGAUGAAGGUUUGAAUCGUGAUAAUGGAUUAUGUUGAGGUUUAGAAAGUGUCCUAAAGUAAAAUGAUGAAUUAUGUUUUAUAUUGUAGAUUGUUGAAGGUGUUUGAUUAAAACACGAUUCAUAAUUGGGUAUAUUAAGGUUGAAUUUAGGAAUUUGAUGUUAUAACAUUGCGAGAAACAUCGAUACUUAUCUAUUAUCAAUUUAAAGUAUAUUUUAUUCAAAAUUGUGGAAAUGGAAAUUGCUUAUAUAUUAUCAUUGUAUAUUUAUCAUUGGUUGAUAUAGAAUUAACGAAACGAACACCAUAUUGAUUUAUCUCAAUUAUUUUGUUGGGGCUAUCUAGAAUUUUUGAAAAUUCAUGAACAGUUGAAUUUUUGGAGAUAUUGUCAGUUUAGAAUUGAGGUAAUUAUCCUCAAAUAGUUUUCGUUUGAGGUUCCAAGUACACAGAAUGGAGACAAAAUGGUAUUUAAAUCAUUGUUGAUAGAUUGAUAAAUGUUACAAGAUUCUUUUCAAGUGAUAUGGUCAGUUCAUGGGAUAGAUUUAUAAAAUUUCAUUUAGACAAGAUUGUUAAUGACAUGGUGGAAUUGGACUAUCUACCUUCGGCUUAGUUGUAAGGAGUUAUAUACCUAAGUUACCUUGUGCAAAAUAGAAUGUGAGACACUAUGAAGACAAGUUCAAAAGAGAGACUAUCAACUAUGGUUGGUUGAUUAAAGGGGACUUGGAUAAUUAUUAUUUUUCAUGGAAUUGACACACAAGAACUAGACACAAGUGACGAUAAUUAAGGUUCUAUAUGAUAUUGAAAUAUUCCAAUGACAUAAUUAUUGUGAAGAAAUUGAUGAAAGAAUGUUAUUUGGUUUUAGCAUGUUAACAUUACAGAGAAAGAAUGUGAUUAGAGAAUAGUUUAAAUUAGGACGUAAGGUGAAGAUUUGGAGAAAAUGAAAAGUAGUAUCUUGAACCUCAAUUCGAAAAAAAUAAAAUCAAAAUAAUAAUUGAGUUUUCCUAAGAUUUGGAAAAAAGGAAAAGAUGAGAAUACCAUAUAUUGGUUCUUUGGAAGUUAUUAAAACUAUGAUGGGAAGGAUUAAAUUUUGGGACUAAAAGUUCGUUGGAGAAAUCAUUCAAUAGAAGAGGCACUAUGGAAAGUGAAGAGCACAUGUAUUCCCAAAAUCCUGAGCUUUUUGUACUUAAUCAAUUGAAUUUCAAGGACGAAAUUCUUUUAAAAGAGUGAGUUUUGUAAUACUUUAAUAAAAAAAUACAAAAAAGAAACAAAAAAAAAAAAAAAAGUCAAAGAUGUCAUUAAAAAAAAAAGAUUGAGGCGGGGGAGGAUUGGAUCGAUAUCAAUCCAAUCCAAAUCCAUUACAAAACAAAUAAAAAUCCAUUAUCCACAUUAAAACACAUACACAGUGAAAAAAAAGGUGCGGGGAGAGAGAAAGAGAAAAAGAGAGGAAAAAAAAGGGAAAGAAGAAAAAAAAUAGAAAAUUUUUGCCAACGUGUUAGGAAUUAAGUGGUCUACAUUAUUAGUCGUGAAUUCCUCAAUUUUGAAAGGUAAGUAAAAAGUUACUUAUUAUCAAGUUAUAUUUGAUUUUAUAGUUGUUAGAUUAUUAGAUUAAAUUCAAUUUUAUUGAAGGGGUUAAGUGUAAUAAACUAUGAAAUUGAGUAAAAUGAAAGAAAAACUAGUUUUAGUUAUUAAAGUGAUAGUAGAAAUCGCCCAAAUGUGAAAUGAUUAAUUGUUGAUUUAAAAAUUAUAUCAUAUUUCAGGCGGCGAUAUUGACAUCGGGACAGUUUACCAACGAGUUAAUUUUUCGAACAAAGUACUGUGAGUAGAAAAAUAUAAAUAUUUUUAAAGUAUUUAUAAAUUCAGUAUAUUGUUAAAGUAUGUGUUCGAAUUAUAUAGUUAUUAUGGAAAUAUCUUUUAUUAUGAUACAUGUAGAUUUUAAAGAUUGGAUACGGUACAUUGUGAAAUGGGAUAUGAGAUAUGAUUUUGAGAUCAACCAGAAAAGUACCCAUGAUUAUAUAUGUCUUCUAGUUCACUGAGGGGCCUUGGCCGUGUUCUAUACUACACUGAGGGGUCUUGGACCGGGGAUGAAGGGGUCUCGAUCGUGUACAUAUACUUCACUGAGGGCCAUUGACCGUAUUCUAGAAUUGAUUAUGAAAGGUCUUUGAAAUCGACUUUCGUUCACAAAGGGGCCAACGGCUCGUGGCGAAAGUUCUUAGCCCGAGGGGCGGAUUAUAUAUUUCAGUCAGAGGGUACAUUUUUGGUGGAUUUUUCAGCACAUUUGAUGUGAUGAGAUUAUAGCAUAGUUAUCAGCUGAAGUUUAUAUCAUGAUUUUGAGAUGAUAUUUUACGACCUUAUGUGAAUAUUUCACUUUUGGUUAUAAUUACAUGAUGUUAUCUUGUGAGUUAUUAAAUGAUAUGAACUCAAUUUUCGAUAGAAAUGUCAAAUUGAAAAAGUAUAAUUAUUUUCGAGUUUCUCCACUCACUGAGCUAUCAACUCAUAUAUUUUCCCAUGAUUUUUCCUACAGAUAGCAAUUAAUUCUUUUUAGCUGAAAGAGCCUAAUGAUUUUGGAAUGAGAGCCACACGAUAUGUUCAAUAUUAUAACUCAUAUCGAUGAAGCACGAAGUAAAUAUUUUGGGCCCAUCUCAUUAUAUUUUACAUUUCAUUUGAUUUUGGCGCAUAUUUUGAAGUAACUCAUAGUCGGCCUUGGUGAUAGAUUUGACAUCUAGUCAGCAUCUAUCAUCGGCGCACGUCAUGUUCUGGGUCCAUUACGGUGAUUCGGGACGGGUCGUGUCAAAUCAUUUAAAAGAUAUUGAAAUUCAUCAUGUCAAGUAAACAUCUUAACUCGAAAUUUAUGAUUAUGUAUGCUGCAAAUUAUUACAAAAUCAUUCUCUUACCUUUGCUUAAAUCCGAGCAAACAAUAACAAACGAAUUAUGGUGGAUGGACAGGCCUGUCCGUCUCCCCUCCAAUAGGGAGUGCCAAUUAGGCGCCCUAUUUAGACAUCGCCCUAUCCAAGUAUCUUUAUCCAUAACAAAAAUGUAAUGAAUCCUGAUUGUAGGAACCAAAUGCCCCCACAAUAAGCAUACACAUCACUUUGCUGACUAGGUUGAAACCAAAACAAAUUCCACUCCUUCGCAUUCCACGAUGUCUGCUAAAUUUGCACGAAAAAAUUCAUCACAUAUCGAGAUUUAAUGGAAGGAUUAUAAAGAGAAUAUGUGUAGAAACUCUCAUGAACUUUGUUAGCAUAAAUAUGAUUAUACAUAUUGUUCAGCCUCAUCUCAGGGAUUAAACUGAAAAAGAGCCCAUUCCAAGCUCCAGUGGUCCCAGAGGCGGACCCACCUUGGGUCAUGCAGGGUAAAAUGACUUCACAAUUUUAUUAUUAUUAUUAUUAUUAUUUUAUUUUCAUUUUUUUGUAAAAAUACUUGUUUUAACCCAUUUAUGACCUACUUUAACACAUGCCAAAUGAAGUAUAAACAUUGUAUUCUUAAUAUCAUUUCGAAGUACUCAUAGCCUAAUUUUUUGCUUCUUAAUAGUGUGCGAAAUGAUCAAUCGUAGCAAAAGUUAUGGCACAUCAAAUUAGGCCAUUCGAAAUUAGUAUUUCGAAAUGAUAAUUUUUAAAAUUUGUCAAUUCGUAUACUACCUAAAUCCACAAAUCACUUGCGUAAUCUGAAACCUCAUUUCGAGAACUACAUCGUAAUCAUAUCAAAUGAUCCAAACGGAUAUUGAAAAUAGUUAAAUAAUCGUCAAACAUAUGUACUAAAAAAAAAAUUCAAAUAUUUCAUAAACGUAUAUUAUUUUUGCACAAUAAAAUUUUCAAUAUAAUUUACAUCAUUUAUUAUGGAAUUUUAAAUGAAAAAUGACUUCAAAAAUUUUAAAAUCGUUAUGGAUUAAAUGUUACUUUCAAAUUACUUUUACAUUAAACUUAAUUUUCAUUUACUUCCUAGAUUGAAUGUGAAUUUUAUUUCAAUUCAUUUCCUUCCUACAUCCAAUUUGAUUUAGUCGCCUUUAGAUCAACAUCUAUAAAUAAAAUGUAAACAAAACUAUACAAAUAACAAAAUUCAUUUACAAUAUAGAUAAUAAUAAUUAUUAUAAGACAUUUUCAAAAUAUCAAAAUGUGUAUUAACUUAUUUUCAUUGAUAUUAUAUUGUUUUAAAAAUUACACAUUAAUUUUUUAUCCCAAAACUCAAAAAGUCUAGAUCCGCUUCUGACUAGUGCAAUAUCUAUCAGUCCAAUUCCAUCUUAUAAUAAUCCGACUCCCAUUUGGAUCUAAUUCAAAAGAGAAAAGCCCGGGUGCAGGUUCCUCAGAGUUUUUUCCAAGAAGUGUGAACUUUCCUUGUUUUUGUACGUUUAUCAUAGGCAAGGCUGCUACCAGGCAACAACGUAUCUGUUGGAUUAUCAAAACUUUGCCAAAAUCCUUCACUUUCCCAGGUUCUGACUCGUCUCUCAAAACUAAAUUUCCAUUAUCACCUAGAGUUGCCACUAAAGAAUUUGAGGUUGUCAAGUUUACAUAUGUGGACCAAAUUGAAACCUGGGACUCUUCCAAAAGCAUCUAAUUCCCAUCCUAAAUCUUGAAUUCUGCAAAAUUCACAUCUGAAAUGGAUGUCUCCCUAUUUGCAUUGGAGAAACAUUUUUGUACCAAAUUCCAAUAUAAUAACUGGAAGAAGGACCUCGUGUGAAGAAUCCUAGUUCAAAGAUGUUACCAGAAGAGGUAAUUGUCUGGCUUCGAGAGAGAGGCUGAUUUGCUGUAAUGCUGUCAGCUCCUUGGGAAUGAUCGAUGUUUAUAGAGAAACAUAGGAAAAACAAAACAUAGAGAAUAAAACAACAAGUGAUCUUCGGGAUCAUAGCUGCAGAAGAUGUGAGAGAGAGAGUAUGAAACAAGAAGUGUUUUUUGUCAAGCUCAUGCUAUUUAUGGAAGAAAGGCCAUGCACUUGUACUUUUCCCGUUCUACUAGUCAAAUGAUUACACCAUGAAGGUUCCUUUAGGGUAGAAAGACAUAAUGCAAGUUGGACUUAUGAAUACAUAGGUCAUAGGUAGUGAUAUAGUCAACUUGCUUGGAGAAUGUCAAAUUAUGUUGUGAAUCAAUACAUUUUGAGCAAAAUAAUAUUCCUUUAAUCAAUGUCGCCACAACAAAGUGCUGUACAAUCAACCUAAAAUUCAGUAUGCAAUGUAGCCAAAAGGCCCAAAACUACUAAGCUACCGCCAACAUGAAACCGUGUCUUUGGGCGAACAUCAGAUCAGCAUGGAGUGCCAUUGCUUCAACAACGGAAGGCGGCUCGCCUUCCGUCUUCCGUGCAAGAAACAUGAGCAGAUACCAUCCCCGCCCCCCCCCCCCAAUGGUCUCAAAUCACAGAAAAACAAGGCUAAGUUUCUUAAUCUUCAUUCACUAGAUCCUCCACCCUUGCAUGAAAAUUAUAAUUGUCUUGCUUUGCAUUAGGUCUUCGGGUGGUGCAAUGUAGGCCACUUGCGUGUCAGCAAAGGGACGAUCAUGUCCACGUCGUACAAAGAAGACAGAAAGUUUUUUAACUUAUCUAACAAAAAACUUCAAAAAAGUCCUCCUCCACCUGCCAAAUAUAUAACUCUAGUCAAGGCGAAUCUUGGAUUUUUGUUAAAGAUGUAUUAAAAUAAUAGUAAUAAUAAUCAAUUUGCUUAAAUUUAUAUAUAAAUAAAGCAUAAGGCAACAACAAUUCAAUAAAUAGUAACUAUUAUCAAUAGUAAUUCUUUAAAUAUAUAAAAAAUUAGUGACGUGAUGACAAACGAAGUACAUACGAAUAGUGUAGUAGAGUAAAAUCGAGAAGCCUGAAUCUAAAAUUAACAAAUCUCUUUCUCAAAUAGCUCAUAGCAUUUGCAGUGAACUUGUAAAAAUUUGGGCUGGCCUAUCCGAGAGAGAAUACAAGUACUACACACUAAGUGCAAUAAAGUUUUCCUCUUCACGGUUUCUUUUUCUCACAGCAAAAAAGAAUAAUUUAAUUUGAGUCAAAUUCUAAAAGCGUGCAAUCUUGUUGCAACUAGCCAACCUUGAACCAAAUGUCUAGUGAAACAAUAUCUGUAGGAUUUUCACCGUAGAAGCAUGGACAAGACUAUGGAUCCAUCAAUAUCCUAUUCAAUAUCUGAUAUAACCACUGUGGAUGACGGUACAAGUAUUCAGUAGUUGGAAAAUUAAAAUUCAGUGGAACAACAUAAUCUAUUGUUUCUAGCAAUGGCAUUACAUAACUGUUUGUUUUCAUAUACGCAGUUUUUUAAUUCAUUAAUAAUAGACUUUUUGUAUAUGAAUGGUUAGUUUUUUAUUACCAAUAUCCCAAAAAUAAAAUAACAUAAAAGAGGUGUAAAAGUGAGUGUACAAGAGAUUGUUAUCUUCCUCGGCAUAGUUCUACAUACACCAAUUUCUUGAAAAUAUUAAGGAACUAAUUGGUGCAAAUUUUGGUUGAACAUACAAACAAACAAUACUAAUGCAAGGAAAUAAGCAAAUUCCUCAUCUCCCUUGUGGAUCAGACAUUGUCAAUUCAUUGGAAAUUGAAUCCGGUUUAUUUGAGGAUGAGGAUGAUAUGCUGAAAACAAGAUAUCUCAUUACAAAAGCUGGUUUCUUGGGAACUGGAACAACUAUAGUUUCGCCACUGAGCAUUAGGACUACAUCUGACACAGUGGGGCGAUCAUUGGGAUCUUCUUCCACACACAAAAGCCCAACACUAAUGCAUUUCAUAACUUCAGAUUUCUCACAAGAUUCAAGCAGUAUUGGGUCCACCGAAUCGAAUACCUUGUUUUACUCCACAAUCUCCAUACCUGCAGGAAUAGCUUCAAAAUAUUCUAGACUAUGAAUUGGCUAAAAUGUUGCAUAUAAAUGGAGAAAUUUAUCUACUUACAUAACCCAAGAGAUUCAAAUCUUCUGAGGACUGGUAAAAUCCCGUGUUUCUCUUUCCAGUGACUAUCUCGAGUACAACAACUCCAAAACUAAAUACAUCUGACUUUAUAGAGAAUAGUCCAUCCGAUGCAUACUCCGAAGACAUAUAACCACUUGAUCAAGUAACUAGAAGUUAGUCUAUAUAAAUGACAUAAUAUCAUGUGUAUAUCAGGUAUAUAUACAUAAUGCAUAUGCAUAGCUUAGUAGAAAUUUGUCAUUGUUGAUAUCAUUGCACAUGUCACAGAGGAGCCAACAACAGAAAUGUUGAUCUAGGCCAAAAUCUGGAGAUUGUACGUACAAGAUCAUUACAAUCGGAUAAGAUAUGAAAUGUUUCAGUUUUUUGUGCUUUCAGUAGUCUCGGUUUAGUUAUAUCAUUUUAGUUGACACUUACUAGGUUUCUGUGACUUUAUUGGUGCUUGCCUCUGUACCUUUGCCCUCAACAAUUAUUCCAAACCGAAGUCUGAAAUUUUGGGGUUCAUCUCUUCAUCUAACAGAAUGUUGCUUGUUUUCAAAUCUCUAUGAAUUAUCCUCAACCUUAUAUCUUGAUGAAGAUAAAGAACCCCUAUUGCUAUACCCAAGAUGAUGUCAAACCGCUUCUUCCAGUGUAGUAACGUGCAUAAUUUUUUAUCUAGUAUUUUCAUUCUCCUUCAUACAGUAGCCCAAACGGUGAACGAGGUUUCAGUGUUGAAGCUUUGUAAUCAAUACAAACUCAUUUUGAAAUACGUUAAUGCCUUGCAAAGAACAGCUUGACAACCUUUUCACUGCAAUUUCUUGCCCUCCAGGAAACAUUCCCUGCAAGAGUUGUGAGCUAGAAUCAAUACAUAAGGAAGAAGAAACUUUGUUGUAACAACAAUUAUGGAGAGAACAAUAGUUAAACCUUGUAAACAGGACCAAAGCCCCCACGUCCAAGUUUAUGUAUGUCUGAGAAAUUCUUGGUAGCAGCUAUUAUACUUUCCCAACUGAAGAAAGGAACACUGAUACCACUCUAGUUGUCACCCUUUAAAUUAUCUGGAGAAUUUUUUUGUUUCAAUUUGCAACACGUCCUUGUACCUUAAUGCCAACGAUGAUCCAUCAACCGCUUUCGUAGUCCCAGAUUUAUGCUUGUGACAUAUGCAUAUCACGACAGUGGCAAAACAACAGCAACAGAACCGAUUACAAGUAAUUUGCUUCUUUUAUUUUUUGAAAACUGAGAUGCAGAGGCAGAAAGUCUAAUGUUGAUCGUUCUUUUACUGCCAUUAUUUUCUGUGGGUAGUUUUAAAUCCAUUAGUUCACCUUUCCAAACCAAGCAUGCAUUGUCUUCGUAAGAGUAAGCUGUACAAGAGCAAUUACUCAAGCAGAUAGAUUCACACUCUCCAGCACUCCCUGCCAUCACUCUUUGUGAAUUUGAAGGUAACAUAACAAGGUUAUUCGCUAGAAACUUGUCUUUUCUGUCAUUUGUACAGUUCAAAAUGAUCUCUCU
rnacentral:lncRNA from 1 species